UGGCGUCUUCCUCAUUCAGAGGUGUGGGGAAGCCGAUCGACAGUUGUGGACAGAACAACUUAACUGGCUGCAGGGAAUUCGUCACCGCCAUCAGGUUAUGUUUACAUCGAGGAACUGCUGUUAUCCUGCUUCUGUCUGUGUGCUGCUAAAAACAGCCUCGUCGAGCCGGGAGCUGGAGAUUUUAUCCUCCUGCAAAGAUCAGCCCAACACUGACACACGAUCAGAGAACAGCUUUCAUCUCAACACUGUCGAGGAGAAACUGCUGAGAUGUUUGAGAUGCUUUUAUUUCAAUGCAUCAUGCAUUUCAUCUCAUUGGAUAUUGUUUGUUCCACAGCUAUUUCAACAAUAUUCAGACUUCUGAACUUAAUAUAAUUGCUUUCACAAUGGAGAGAUUUAUGCUGGAUCUGUGCAUGAUUUUAAUAAAUGCAUUUAA